CAGUCGCCUACAUUGGUGUCACAUGGGAAUAUAUCCUGCGCGUUCUAAGGAUGGCUCAAGAGGAGAAUGACAUGUUGGCACUAUGUCAUGUGCUCUACGGACUGGUCAUCAGUGCCCAGAAGCAUUUGGAGCUGGGCGCUGACGAUGAUGAAAUUAUGGGCAUCACAAAAGAGGCAGCAUCCAUCAAGGCCUACCACACCUUCCGGGUUUUCUUCAACCGUUGGUCCCUGAAGAACAAGGACAAGGUGACAGAACAAGUUCUGGUGAUAAUUGGCCACCUCUUCUCUCUCAUGCCUCCAUCCAAACUCAAGAACGAAGUGAAGCGGUUAACCCGAUGGUUAAUGACUUUGAAAUCCACAAAAGUGACACCAUUCUACAUUUCCCAGUGUAUUUGCCAACUUGUGGGUGCCCUGGCUCGCAGUGACUGCAGAGGAAUUAAUGUGGAAUCCCAGCUGGAAAACAUUACAGGCAUUCUGUUCAACCAGCUGAGUGAAGAAGUCAACAACUCAGAUCCUAACUCUGUAAAGAACCACAGCCUCACCCUGAAGGCUUUCCACAUCCUGACAAAGUUGUACAGCGAUCAGGUGGUAUUCUUAAUACGGAAGACCAUGGAAUCCAAGGACCCAGCCAAGGCAGUAUCAGCCCUUCAAGUGUUCAUGAGUGUGUUCGAGGAAGUGCCCCAGACAGAGAAACUGCAGAGAGAGGUGAUGCAUUCAACCAUUAUUGUGAUUCAGGACAACCUCAAACCAGUGAGCAGAAAGGCGGGGUGUUUAGGCUGGGAGGGCGGCUGCUUUCUUGAGAACUUGAGGUCUUGUAAAAUGGAGAGGGGAAGGCUUUGGGGGUGAGGGUUGAGGUAAAGCACCCUUGCCAAGCUAGUUCUGACCUCAGACCACUGCCCGUGGGUUACAUUUGGGCUCUUCAAAACCUGGGAAGGUUUGAGAAGUGGACAGGUGGUUCUUUUCUAUAUUCUGAUUCUUUUCAGUGGGCAGCACUGUGGUGUGGCCAGUGGGGACAGGGAGCUCUAGAGGAUACUAAUUCUGCCCCCUGAGAAUUUGUGGUUUGUUUGGGGAGAG
rnacentral:lncRNA from 1 species